rnacentral:lncRNA from 1 species
UUCCCUCUCUCAGCUCAGAGGCCUUCUCUGACUACUCUGUGUAAAGUGAAUUGCUCUCUCUCUUUUUUUUUUUUUUUUAUUUCCCAUCACACUUCUGCUUUCCUUUACAACUUCUUUUACUAGAAUGUGGGCAGGAAUUUCUGUCAGAUUCCCUGGAACCAGCUCAGGGCCAGGCACACUAUAGGUGUUCAAUAAAUAUUUAUUGAAUGACUGAGGUCUCUGUAUAUUUCAUGGUACCUGUUCAUAUAACAGAGCUCCGUUAAACUGGGGGUGCUUGGCUGAUGGGAGCACAGCUCCCUGCCCUAGGUCCCCAACAGGGAAGGGAUGCAGAACCCCUGGUCGGAGGCCACACUCUCCUUAGUGAUAACUGAAGGCCCCCGGGUGCCGGCCAGGGGAGGGCUGACAGGUGGGGCUGAUGAGUUCCAGACCCAGGCCUCUGGGCCCCGGCACAGCCCGACAGAACCGGACGCUGGGCAGGAGCCAGAGCCAAGCUUCCAUGACGUCGCUGCCUUCAAGGGCCAUGCUCCCCCCUAGCCCCUUGGAGGGGCUUCGGGUCUCAAAGCUGUGUGCCACUGGGCUCUGCGGAAAGAGCCGUCUUGCCUGGUUUGAGUCCCAGAUCUGGUUGUGUGACCAGUGACAACUAUCAGAACACUCGCAGAGUAGGCUUUAUAAAGUAAAAAGUACUUUGUACACUGAAAACCUCUGUAAACCAAAAACAGGUGCUCCCUGAACUGGCAAGGCCUUAGGGAGCUUCUGUCCUGAACCCCUGCUUUUGACGAAGGGAGAGCCUGAGGUUUAACUGAAAUAAUGUAUGUAGACUGCUUAGCACGAGGCUUGGGACUUUGUGUUUUUAUUCUAGCUACUAACCACCUGCCUACUGCUGGCUAAGCAACCUGUGCCUCGGUGCCUCCUGGCUUCCCAGCCCUUCCUGCCUCAGCUGGAGACCUUGGUCCAUCUCUCUCUCUCUCUCUCUCUCUCUCUCUCUCUCUCUCUCUCUUUUUUUUUUUUUUUUUUGAGAGAGAGAACACGGCAUGAGCUGGCGGGAGGAGCAAAUGGAGAGAGAGCAAUAAAUUGCCUGCUGAGCAGGGAGCCCGACUCAGAGCUUGAUCUUGGGACCCUGGGAUUAUGACCUGAGCUGAAGACAGAUGCUUAACUGACUGAGCCAUCCAGGUGCUCCCCAUCUGUCUUCAAUAGGAUUAUAAUUACUAUUUUUUUGAGCGUUUGUGAGGUACCAGGCCAUGAGCUAAGCACUCUGUAUACAUUGCUUAAUUCUUUUGUCGUGGGAUUAGAUAGUAUUAUUGUCCUCAUUUUACUGAUGAGGAAGCUGAGGCUCAGAGACAUUAGGUAAUCUCCCCAAGGCCCUACAAUUAGCAAGGGGCUGAAAGUGUUUAGACCCCAAAAUAGGAAGUCUCCAAGCAUCUUGGUUCUGGCUUCUUUUCCUUUAGAUAUCUCUUCUAAUAACUUAUAUUUGCUGCCAGCUACUCCUUCCUGGGGCUUUGGGAAGUUUUCUGAGAAUCCACUUGGUCAGCCACCAGAAGAGGGCAAGACAGGGUCUUAAACCUCCAUCUGAAAGCCUCCCCUAUGGCCCAGUGAGGAGCUUUUUUUGGAGUUGGCAGUGACGAGGUCUCUGAGGGUCAAAAACACAGCCCUGGGGAAAGAGAUAGGGUGUGGGCAGGAGCCCACAGACCCAGCCGUGGUCUCAGCAAGCAUCCUGCCAGCUUUUUCUCUACGAGUCCAGUUAUACAUUGCCCAUGGGAUGGUGGGAGCUGCAGAUGGAGG